rnacentral:rRNA from 1 species
UACGUAGGGAGCAAGCGUUGUCCGGAUUUACUGGGUGUAAAGGGUGCGUAGGCGGAAUUGCAAGUCAGUCGUGAAAUCUGUGGGCUCAACUCACAAAUUGCGAUUGAAACUGUAGUUCUUGAGUGAAGUAGAGGCAGGCGGAAUUCCCGGUGUAGCGGUGAAAUGCGUAGAGAUCGGGAGGAACACCAGUGGCGAAGGCGGCCUGCUGGGCUUUAACUGACGCCGAGGCACGAAAGCAUGGGUAGCAAAC